UUAGCUUUUGUUACUGAGUUAAUUUCUGAUGAUAAUUAUGUAGUGAUCUUUGUAGUUUCAUAGGGAAUGAAAUUGGGUCCGUGGAUUCAACUUUGAAAAAUUAUCACUAGUGUUCUGCUUCCUUCUAUAUUUGAAUUAUAUGGGAGUGCAUAAUUUAUCGCAGGAUCACACAGAUUCAUUUUCGAUAAUGAGAACUUUCUAGAUGAGAUGAAAGAUUAUACUCACAGUUUAGUGGUCUACAUAUUUUACAUCACUGGCAGAAUUUUCAUCUUUAAUAGCACCCCCGGGUCCAGUCUACUCUCUCUACUCCAACUGGUGGUAUUUCCAGGUGCCAAUGAUUGUGAAGAGGUAAUUUUUGCUCCCAUGGCUUCUUUUUGAGGUCUAUGGAUACUUCAAGUUUUGGAGUUACAGGAGUCGAGAAAGAAACUGGCAGAGAGGCAAAACUGCAUAGGAAAAGCCUAGUCUAACCAAAUGGCAAAAGAAGAAAUGUAACACGAUUGACACCAUUUCCAAGGGUCCUCAGGACCCCAACUCUGGUUGAAAAAGAAAUGUAUUGAAGAACUAAUACCCUUAAGCAAAACUAAACUAUAGUAUAAGCAGUUCUUUAUUUGGUCAUUUAUACUAAAUUCAGGCUGUCUAGAUGUUGGAAUGAGCAAGUGAAUUCACGGACUUCCUUGAUCCAUAGUUUUAGUCCAAGAAUAUAUAUGCAUAAGCAAUCCGAUUAGAAGUUCCACAUAAUUCUUGCCCAUUAGGCUAACAUUUUGUCUCAACUAUGCAAAAUAUGUUUUUGGUUUGCUCCUUACUUGACCUCUUUUUUUAGUGAGCUCUGGGAUUAUAGCUUCAAGACAACUGCAGCUUAUAGAGACCUCAUAACCCUUACUUGGUUGCCCUAGUGUGCGAGUCAGUGACUGAGUGGGAUACUUUUGUUUAAAAAUCAGUAAAACCUAAUCCGAAAACAUCAAAUUUAAUGUCCUUUAUAAUGGAUAGUAGGGAAUCACUUAACCUGAAAUCAUAACAACCUUAAGCUGUUAUGGAUGAUACAUACAUAUAUGAUAUAUAGGGGUUUAUGGAGGUUCACAACUGUGCAUGUGCAAGGUAGGUAUAGAAAAUAAUUUUAUUUAUAUAGAAAAAAAGUUGCAUUUGUAAGUAAAAAUUUGCAACCACAAGGCAAUGCAUCUUUUUUCUCUACAAAUGCAUUAAUUUCUUAGACUUUCGUGCACUUGCAUCUCCAUUAUGCACACAUGCACAUACAUACACAUACUAUAAAUUUAUAUAUUUAUACACACACACACGUAUAUAUGUACAUACCUCCCUACGGCAUAUAUAAAACAUGAUUAAUCUUCUCUUCCGUAUAUAUAUUAGAAGGAUUAUUGGUUUUUGGCUUGCCUGCACUUUAGUAAGUACUACUACCAUAUAAAUGAAAUGAUAUUAGAACACAAGUACAUAAAAAACUCACAAUAAACGACAUAUGAGCAUGUUUGACAUCUUUGGCUUGAAUAACUCCUACUCUAGCAUCCACAACCUGCAGUAUGUUGGGGAAGGGGUCUGUUUCUGUUUCCAUGACUUGUUAUUUAUACAUCUACAAGCCUGGGAUUGUGUUAAGCCAUGGCUUACUAGCCUUACUGUGAUUAUUUUGCAAAAGUCUCAUGGGCAUUUGAUUGUAUUCAAAACCUACUUUCUUGAUUGAAGGUUACAGUGAUUGGACACGUACACUUGUUACUUUGCGUGUUA
rnacentral:lncRNA from 1 species